rnacentral:tRNA from 1 species
GCCUCGGCUUGGGCCAAGGGCAGGGCGGGGAGUUGCCAGCAUGCCCGUGGCUCCGCCGCCGCCGGCUCGGACGCCGGCGCCGAUGCGC